AAGGAGCAUCUCCAAUGUCGUUGCCGCGUAGGUGGUUCGACGACUUGGCAGAGCCGCUUAGUCCUCACAUGUAGGACUGCGGAGCUCAUGGGUGGAACGCUGACAAGCUCAUCGCAUCGUGAUCGGAGCCAUGUCUUCGGUCCGCGGUGAUAUACCGACACACUAUUGGGUCCUGAAAGAACACGCGGUAAGCGGGUUUUUUCCAGGCAAGAUAACGACAGGACUUGGUCCGCAGUCAUACCGCGAGGGUUUUCCUCGGCUGGUGCUGCAGGUGGGCUGAGUUUUGUGUGUUGUUUGAGAACUGCACAGUGGACGCGAGCAUCUUUGUUA
rnacentral:misc_RNA from 1 species